GCGGGCUCGGCACCGCCUCGGCGGGCGCAGAACGCACGAGCCCAGCGGGAGCCCGGCCCCCACCUUCAGCCCGGCGAGUAACCGACUUGGCCCCCUCCCUCGGAAGGGCGGGGCCACGGCUGGAGGGACGGGCUGGGGCGGGACCGUAACGCCCGCGGGGCCGGAGCUCCUCAGACGCUUCGUAAGACGCGCCUGCUUAUAGGCUGCGACGGAGGUAGGCGUCUCGGACUUGAAGACGGCCUCGACAGCAGAGCUCUCUCAUUGGUCGGUAAGAGAAAACAAAGCGGAGGUCUGAUUGGCGAGAGCUCUGUAGCUCCUCUCCCUCUCCCCUCAAUCAUCGGAAGCUCCGCCCCUACCCGCUUGGUUCCCAGGUGGCUGCCGAAUGCGUUGUCUGGCAGACCUGCAACGUCUCCGAAGCGAAGAAACCCGGAUACCCAGGUUUCUUUGCCAGAGUCACCAAAGAAGUGGACAUUCAUUCACCAGGCCAGCCUAUCAGGCAUAGAUCUAAAUUAGGACAGAGCUGAAGCCCUCGGAGUGAGAGAUCUGUUCUACCAGUUCCGGCCUUUAGCGUGCUUCUGACCAUGGCUUUCUCUUUACUGGUUGAACUCACACCAUUACCAGAUAUCUGUAAGAAAAGAGAGCCCCCCCCCACCCCCCGACCCUGCACUGUGGAGGGCUAAUCAGUGGAAAUGCUGAGAAUGUCAAAAUAUCUUGGUGCAUCCAGCUGGUAGUGGCAGGUGAAUCAAAAGAUGCAGCAACUAAAUAAGUUAAAAAGUAAAUAAAAAAUGUAACCACUGAAAUGUAUGGCACAAUGCUUCAAAGCCACUGAAAAGUAAUCUCUGUGCCCCAAUAAUAGAGUUCAAAGAUUAAUGCUUAAGACAGAGGGGUAACGUAGAAUCCAAGGGCAAAGAAAGUCAGUCUUGACUUGAAAGACAAGAGAAACUUGGCUGUAGUUUUCUCUGUCUUCAAACCAGCCUCUUUCUACUCUCCUAUUCUCUAGAAAAUAGCUUUCGGGGCUCCAAAGUAGUCAAAGUGAAGCUACCUUAGUGCUCUCCAACCCCCAACCUAAUCAACUACUUUGACACAAUCCCAAAUUCUACGGAGAGAAAAUACGAGUGGCUAUGCCUGGUCCGUCUCCACUCUAUCCCACCACCUGUGAUCAUGGAGGUGUGGGGAGAGUGGGGACCACCAACGUGGCUGCCAGGGCCCAUCUCUGUUGACAGCCAGUGAUUUCCCAGAGAACAGGCACUAGACAGAUUGCCAGAUAGGCAUGCAUCCUGCCCCCGCUACCCAACGUUUUGUGGAGUCAGUCAGUGGGGCUCCAUUAUCUAUUCAGUGAAAGUCUUUGCCUGUCCUUUCACACUAAGACGGAGGCCCAGAGGCCAAGACCAAAGUCUUCGAUGGUGACUGCCGGCUUUCUUGAAAUCUGUUUAUUUCAGUUGGCUUCCAGACACGAAGUACCCCUGUCUCUUCCACUUUCGAGCUGCCAUUCCCAUUUAAGUCUUCUACUGAUUCCCAAUUUCCCUGUGUCAAGUAUACCUCCUGACACUGAUUUACCUAAAGAGCAAAAGCACCUGCCAGGUUGGUGAAUAUCCGUGAACACUGCUCUCGGCUCAGCUGAAACCAGCACGAAGAACAGUCAGGACCAAUGAAACGAUACAAGCAGAAGGUGGACCUUCACCUGCCCAUGUUCCUUCGACACUCACUCAGAUGAACAUGUGGGCAGUCCCAUAACUUCUCUGAUAGCUUUUAGAUAACAAAAAUCCUUUGAUCAGUUUAAGCCAUAAAAUAUAGUUUUCACUGAGAAAUUUUCAUAUGAAUGCCAAUACACUUUGAUCAACACUUCAAGCUUCAUUCAGAUAGGCCUUCCCUCCACUCCCUCAGCCAGGGUCCCAGGCAGGCUGGGUCCUCCCAGGAAGGGGAGAAGGAACCGCCUCCAAAUUCACAAGGUAAGGAGAGGAGAGUACUCCAAAGAUCCGGCAUCUGUGCUCAGCUCUUCCUGCUGCGGGGAGACGGGGAGACGGGGAGACGUUGCUCUGGGCCUGGCCAAGGACUGACUACACGGAGCACUUCCCCUCUCAGGUGCUUUCUAACAAUCUUAGAGACCUGAACUUGAAACAUCUGACUUUGUCUCUCCUG